CCCUUAGAUGUCCGGGGCUGCACGCGCGCUACACUGAAGGAAUCAGCGUGCUAAAACCAUUGUCGAAAGGCAUUGGUAAACCCAUUAAAAUCCUACGUGAUUGGGAUCGGGAAUUGCAAUUAUUUCCCUUGAACGAGGAAUUCCCAGUAAGUGUGGGUCAUAAGCUCGCGUUGAUUACGUCCCUGCCCUUUGUACACACCGCCCGUCGCACCUACUGAUUGAAUGACUCGGUGAAAAAUUGGGACUGUGAGAACAAUCGAUUCAGUUCGAAUGUACUCGUGGAAACUUUUUUUAACCUCGCCAUUUAGAAGAAGGUGAAGUCGUAACA
rnacentral:rRNA from 1 species